rnacentral:misc_RNA from 1 species
AACCUUUGGCAACGGAUCACUUGGUUCUGGCAUCGAUGAAGAACGCAGCGAAAUGCGAUAAGUAAUGUGAAUUGCAGAAUUCAGUGAAUCAUCGAAUCUUUGAACGCACAUUGCGCCCGCCAGUAUUCUGGCGGGCAUGCCUGUUCGAGCGUCAUUUCAACCAUCAAGCCCCCCGGCUUGUGUUGGGGACCUGCGGCUGCCGCAGGCCCUGAAAACCAGUGGCGGGCUCGCUGUCACCCCGAGCGUAGUAAUACAUCUCGCUCUGGGAGUGCUGCGGGUUCCGGCCGUUAAAAGCCUUAUUUACCCAAGGUUGACCUCGGAUCAGGUAGGAAGACCCGCUGAACUUAAGCAUAUCAAUAAGCGGAGGCU